GAUGAACGCUGGCGGCGUGCCUAAUACAUGCAAGUCGAGCGAACAGACGAGGAGCUUGCUCCUUCGACGUUAGCGGCGGACGGGUGAGUAACACGUAGGUAACCUACCUAUAAGACUGGGAUAACUUCGGGAAACCGGAUCUACUACCGGAUAAUAUUUCGAACCGCAUGGUUCGAUAGUGAAAGAUGGCUUUGCUAUCACUUAUAGAUGGACCUGCGCCGUAUUAGCUAGUUGGUAAGGUAACGGCUUACCAAGGCAACGAUACGUAGCCGACCUGAGAGGGUGAUCGGCCACACUGGAACUGAGACACGGUCCAGACUCCUACGGGAGGCAGCAGUAGGGAAUCUUCCGCAAUGGGCGAAAGCCUGACGGAGCAACGCCGCGUGAGUGAUGAAGGUCUUCGGAUCGUAAAACUCUGUUAUUAGGGAAGAACAAACGUGUAAGUAACUGUGCACGUCUUGACGGUACCUAAUCAGAAAGCCACGGCUAACUACGUG
rnacentral:rRNA from 1 species